rnacentral:RNase_P_RNA from 1 species
AAAGCAGGUAACUUUAUCGCUGCGCUUUGCGUGGAGGAAAGUCCGGGCAGCAUAGAGCACCGUACCUUGUGAAAACAAGGGUUCCGAAAGGAAACAGAGAGUGCCACAGAAAAUAAACAGCUGACGCUUUUUAAAGCAAGCAAUGGUGAAAAGGUGGGGUAAGAGCUCACCGCUCUUGAGGUAACAAAAGAGGCUAGGAAAACCUUACGGGCUGAAAGGUCAAAUAAACCGGAGUUAAAGUGGCUCGCUUUUCCGGAGGGUAGACUGCUUAGAUAAAUGAUAAAGCAAAAGCAAUGCUUUUGAACAGAACCCGGCUUACUUACCUGUUUUUAAU